UUUUAGCCCCGAUAGAGCCGAUAUCCUUUUGCCACUGUGGACCUAAAAAGAUAAAGGCGAAAGCGGAUCCCGAU
rnacentral:sRNA from 1 species